UUCAUCAGAUUCACAGGAUACGGUCAUCCUUUCAGACAGCCCUUUGAGGAAACGUCAGAAGCUGGAUGCAGAAGCUAAGCAAUUGGUGGAAUCCAUUCUCACAAGCAAACCUGGUGGAGAACGUAUAAUAAAUGAGUACAAUCGGACCAAGUCCCUGGUGGAUGAAACCAGAAGAAAAAUGGUCAACAUACUGGUAGCUGACAUGACAGAAAAAAAUGGUACAUCACCACCACGGCAGGUAAAAGAAAUGUGUGC